rnacentral:rRNA from 1 species
GGGUUGUGAGGUUAAGCGACUAAGCGUACACGGUGGAUGCCCUGGCAGUCAGAGGCGAUGAAGGACGUGCUAAUCUGCGAUAAGCGUCGGUAAGGUGAUAUGAACCGUUAUAACCGGCGAUUUCCGAAUGGGGAAACCCAGUGUGUUUCGACACACUAUCAUUAACUGAAUCCAUAGGUUAAUGAGGCGAACCGGGGGAACUGAAACAUCUAAGUACCCCGAGGAAAAGAAAUCAACCGAGAUUCCCCCAGUAGCGGCGAGCGAACGGGGAGCAGCCCAGAGCCUGAAUCAGUGUGUGUGUUAGUGGAAGCGUCUGGAAAGGCGCGCGAUACAGGGUGACAGCCCCGUACACAAAAAUGCACAUGCUGUGAGCUCGAUGAGUAGGGCGGGACACGUGGUAUCCUGUCUGAAUAUGGGGGGACCAUCCUCCAAGGCUAAAUACUCCUGACUGACCGAUAGUGAACCAGUACCGUGAGGGAAAGGCGAAAAGAACCCCGGCGAGGGGAGUGAAAAAGAACCUGAAACCGUGUACGUACAAGCAGUGGGAGCACGCUUAGGCGUGUGACUGCGUACCUUUUGUAUAAUGGGUCAGCGACUUAUAUUCUGUAGCAAGGUUAACCGAAUAGGGGAGCCGAAGGGAAACCGAGUCUUAACUGGGCGUUAAGUUGCAGGGUAUAGACCCGAAACCCGGUGAUCUAGCCAUGGGCAGGUUGAAGGUUGGGUAACACUAACUGGAGGACCGAACCGACUAAUGUUGAAAAAUUAGCGGAUGACUUGUGGCUGGGGGUGAAAGGCCAAUCAAACCGGGAGAUAGCUGGUUCUCCCCGAAAGCUAUUUAGGUAGCGCCUCGUGAAUUCAUCUCCGGGGGUAGAGCACUGUUUCGGCAAGGGGGUCAUCCCGACUUACCAACCCGAUGCAAACUGCGAAUACCGGAGAAUGUUAUCACGGGAGACACACGGCGGGUGCUAACGUCCGUCGUGAAGAGGGAAACAACCCAGACCGCCAGCUAAGGUCCCAAAGUCAUGGUUAAGUGGGAAACGAUGUGGGAAGGCCCAGACAGCCAGGAUGUUGGCUUAGAAGCAGCCAUCAUUUAAAGAAAGCGUAAUAGCUCACUGGUCGAGUCGGCCUGCGCGGAAGAUGUAACGGGGCUAAACCAUGCACCGAAGCUGCGGCAGCGACACUAUGUGUUGUUGGGUAGGGGAGCGUUCUGUAAGCCUGUGAAGGUGUGCUGUGAGGCAUGCUGGAGGUAUCAGAAGUGCGAAUGCUGACAUAAGUAACGAUAAAGCGGGUGAAAAGCCCGCUCGCCGGAAGACCAAGGGUUCCUGUCCAACGUUAAUCGGGGCAGGGUGAGUCGACCCCUAAGGCGAGGCCGAAAGGCGUAGUCGAUGGGAAACAGGUUAAUAUUCCUGUACUUGGUGUUACUGCGAAGGGGGGACGGAGAAGGCUAUGUUGGCCGGGCGACGGUUGUCCCGGUUUAAGCGUGUAGGCUGGUUUUCCAGGCAAAUCCGGAAAAUCAAGGCUGAGGCGUGAUGACGAGGCACUACGGUGCUGAAGCAACAAAUGCCCUGCUUCCAGGAAAAGCCUCUAAGCAUCAGGUAACAUCAAAUCGUACCCCAAACCGACACAGGUGGUCAGGUAGAGAAUACCAAGGCGCUUGAGAGAACUCGGGUGAAGGAACUAGGCAAAAUGGUGCCGUAACUUCGGGAGAAGGCACGCUGAUAUGUAGGUGAAGCGACUUGCUCGUGGAGCUGAAAUCAGUCGAAGAUACCAGCUGGCUGCAACUGUUUAUUAAAAACACAGCACUGUGCAAACACGAAAGUGGACGUAUACGGUGUGACGCCUGCCCGGUGCCGGAAGGUUAAUUGAUGGGGUUAGCGCAAGCGAAGCUCUUGAUCGAAGCCCCGGUAAACGGCGGCCGUAACUAUAACGGUCCUAAGGUAGCGAAAUUCCUUGUCGGGUAAGUUCCGACCUGCACGAAUGGCGUAAUGAUGGCCAGGCUGUCUCCACCCGAGACUCAGUGAAAUUGAACUCGCUGUGAAGAUGCAGUGUACCCGCGGCAAGACGGAAAGACCCCGUGAACCUUUACUAUAGCUUGACACUGAACAUUGAGCCUUGAUGUGUAGGAUAGGUGGGAGGCUUUGAAGUGUGGACGCCAGUCUGCAUGGAGCCGACCUUGAAAUACCACCCUUUAAUGUUUGAUGUUCUAACGUUGACCCGUAAUCCGGGUUGCGGACAGUGUCUGGUGGGUAGUUUGACUGGGGCGGUCUCCUCCUAAAGAGUAACGGAGGAGCACGAAGGUUGGCUAAUCCUGGUCGGACAUCAGGAGGUUAGUGCAAUGGCAUAAGCCAGCUUGACUGCGAGCGUGACGGCGCGAGCAGGUGCGAAAGCAGGUCAUAGUGAUCCGGUGGUUCUGAAUGGAAGGGCCAUCGCUCAACGGAUAAAAGGUACUCCGGGGAUAACAGGCUGAUACCGCCCAAGAGUUCAUAUCGACGGCGGUGUUUGGCACCUCGAUGUCGGCUCAUCACAUCCUGGGGCUGAAGUAGGUCCCAAGGGUAUGGCUGUUCGCCAUUUAAAGUGGUACGCGAGCUGGGUUUAGAACGUCGUGAGACAGUUCGGUCCCUAUCUGCCGUGGGCGCUGGAGAACUGAGGGGGGCUGCUCCUAGUACGAGAGGACCGGAGUGGACGCAUCACUGGUGUUCGGGUUGUCAUGCCAAUGGCACUGCCCGGUAGCUAAAUGCGGAAGAGAUAAGUGCUGAAAGCAUCUAAGCACGAAACUUGCCCCGAGAUGAGUUCUCCCUGACCCUUUAAGGGUCCUGAAGGAACGUUGAAGACGACGACGUUGAUAGGCCGGGUGUGUAAGCGCAGCGAUGCGUUGAGCUAACCGGUACUAAUGAACCGUGAGGCUUAACCUUACAACGCCGAAG